UGUAAACCGAUAUAAAGUGUCAGAUGGGUUUAUUGGGGACUUUGUUUGUAAGAGGAAAUUCACGUUGACAACAAAUGUAAGGAGAGGCAGCACGACGAGAUUUCAAUUGACAUAAUAGGGUGUGGUAAUCCUGAGGAGCUGACUAUGGAGAGGGCCCAUACAGCAGUGGAGGGGGUGUUUGAGACCAUGCCCGAGACCGCCUCAAACAGUCCACCUCCGUCUACACAGCCAGCGAUGGAGUACAUCAGGUGAGCCGGCCACACCCCAGCGACCACGGCCUGCUCUUUCUCUUCCUGGUGGGAGGAGUCAUUCCCUCUGAGCUGCGCCUGAUCCGCAAGGUAGUCUCCGCCCACAAGCCGGGCACUCAGGUGCUGGUCCUCUCUACCAGACUGUUGAGACCUACAGACGUCCCUGAGCUGCUCUUCACCACCCAAAGACUGGUGCCAGACAUUGGUGUGUGAGCACGGAACAAGGACCACACACACACAGAAGCACGCA